CAAUGGGAAGAUGGUUUUCUGCUGCAGACUACCUUCGUUCUUUUUCUGGACUCCACAGUGAGCCUGCUAGGUUUGCAAAGCCAGAGCUGGAAGAGUGCUCAUUAAUUCAGCUUCAUGAAGGGGUGGGUACAGGCGAUAUUUCUCCCAGUGGAGACUGGCGACUCAGUCGUGCAUAAGCUUUCAAAUGAGCUUCCCUCCUUAGAGUUUCUUGGAAAUGUCCCAUGCAGUUUCAAUUAAUUUUACUUCUUUUUUGGCUACUUGGGGGCAGAAGGAGAAGAGAAUGAUGCAGAAAAAAAGAGAACAGAUUUUCUUAACAGUUUAUCAAAAUUGUUUGGCCUCACGCGGUUUUUCUGCUGCCCUUUCUGCUGUGUCUAUUGACCUCCAACUUGCUAUGUAGCCAAGGCUAGCCUUGGACUCCUGCUCUUCUUGCCUCCACCACCAGACAUUGGAAUUGCAGGUUUGAGCCACCACAGCUGGCCCAAAUGCUUCUACAGAACACACUGAAAAGACUUUGGGUCAAUGUGAAAUGUCACCUUCAAGCCAGAAUUUUCUAUCUGGAGGUCUUCCCCUUGGUUAACUAUGCUGGGCACAGAUGGUCAGACAGAAUACAUGUGGCUUACAGUCUAUGCAAGAACAAACCAAUGAUUGCUUUCCAUGUUCCUUUAUGAGAACAGAAAUGGAGAACCCUUUAGAAAGCCAGUGGAUAAAUUUCUCCAUUAAUUCAUCUAGCCAUGUAUCCAUAUCAAACUACAACAUAAUUCUCCAACUACAAAAAAAAAAAAAA
rnacentral:lncRNA from 1 species